rnacentral:lncRNA from 1 species
AAGUUUCAUCUUGCACCCCUCCCCCGCAACACACUUUGGGAGCAACGGGGAGCCCUUUCUCUCCCGGCCCCAGCUCCCCACCUCUGGGAGCCGAGUAGGCAGCCCAUACACCAGAAGCUCUGGUCGCCCCAUUCCCAGAUCGGGCUCCCGGAGCGAUCCACUACACCACUACCCUCAGUGAGAGAACGGAACAAAACGAAAAUUAACAAAACACAAUAACGAAUUUAUAGAUUCCACCAUUCCCAGAGCGACCGUUUCGCGUCUGGCCACGGAACCCACUGCCUGGAUUCCUAGGCAGAUCUCCGAUCCCAGUAACUCCUGAAUUGCCCUCUUCGCCCUUUUCCUACCCCACACUCGUUCCAGUUCUUACAUUGCCUCUUUCUUUUCUUUUUUUUUAAUCUUUAGGGAAAGUCGAAUUGCAAGGAAAACGCCUAGAGAUUGAACACUCGGUCCCCAAAAAACAAAGGAGUCGGAAAAUUCAGAUUCGAAAUAUCCCACCCCAGCUCCGUUGGGAAGUGCUGGACAGCCUGCUUGCUCAGUACGGUACAGUGGAGAACUGCGAGCAAGGUAAGGGUACAGAGGCCAUGGGCAGUGGGGAGGUGGGGGGGGCAUGCUGGAGCCGUUUGGGGGAUCUGCUCUGCUUCGUUUUCCAUGACCACAACCACCUGGCAUACCAAAAGCAGACAGACAGACAGAACAUGGCAUGAAGGGAGAUACACACAUGGGGGAGGUAGGCACGUCGGCCUGGCUUUGGCUGUGCUGCUUCUCUCUGGAGCGGGUUUCCCUGUUUAAUGAGCAAAAAUCACCCAUUUCCUGCCUGGGGUCCCAGGCUCUUAGGGGUCAGUCACGGUAGAAAGAGAGGUCUGAAGAGUUGAGCAGUAGUAUGGGCAUGGAAAUUGGCACUCAGCCCAAGUAAGUCUGCAGCUCCUGCAUUUUUUUUUUUUUUAAAGAUUUUAUUUAUUUAUUUAUUUGACAGAGAGAGA